CCCGCCAAAAUUCCUGCCGAAAUUUCAACUGACCCUCAUGGUGUCAUGCUCUAAAGUCUAAACCCAGUUUCCCUACUAUAUGCUAAAAUUAAACCCAGUUUCAACUGACCCUCAUGGUGUCAUGUUCUAAUAUUGGGCGUAGAAGGCGUCAGGUAGCCACCCUCGGUUUUGAUUUCAAUUCUUUGUUUGCUGGAAAUUAGGGUUUGAUAUCGGGGAUUGCUUGCUAUGUUUGUUACAAUAAUAGGGUUAGAGAUUUGAAAGAAAAUUAUUUGUAUAGAUUUUCGAUUCUCUGUUCUGGUUGCUAUUUGUUUCAACGCCAGAGGAUCUGUAUUUUGCUUUCGAUAUCCGAUUCCUUCCUUCUAUGUGUUAUGGGUGUGUGUUUUGCAGGUUACUGGCCCAUCAACUACCAAAUUGAACAUGUAAUGAUCCAAAAAUUCAUGAAAAACCUUCAAAUACAUAGUUCUUGCUUUGGGUGCUAAAUCUAUGUACUAAGUGAUAGAGACUUGGGGCUUUAAGGGAUGUUGGAUUCAGAGUAGUGAGAUAUCCGACCAUAAAGUUUCACUAGUUAACUUGCUCUUGCUGUACAUUUGUUUGGGUACUUCUUGUUCUUACAUUGGCAUAUUGAGAAUUUUGAGAUAAGGCUUGUUAUUAAGUGAUGCAAAAUAUGUUGGGCUGCAUUCUGGUCAGUCGAAAAUGGUGGUGCCUGAACAUCCAUGUAAAUAUUAUCAUCUUUAAGAAUUGGAUGAUUGACAGUUCAAGUGUGAAGAGUAACUUUCUAAGUGUACCUCUUGUUUUAUCAUCAACCCCGAUCCUAGAUAAACAAAGCUUUUACACAUUACCACUAGUUCAAAAUCCUCCCUUAGUCUUCUCUUUGUAUUGUCUCUAGCAUUUGAGAAUCGGGCAUUCCCUAGUUAUUUCCCUCGUCUUUAUUGGUUAUGCAAAUCCUCCCAAAAUUACGUACUUGAUAACUCGUCAUUUUGUAACCUUCUGGUUGUUUGGGUGAUAUAGAAGGGAGAAAACACAUGUUGCGUUUAAGUUACUGAAAUAAUUGAAGUAGUUCCUUUUGUUCCCUUGUAAUUUGGCAUGAUCGAUGGAUUAAGAUAUUCAAAUCAGCUAAGGCCAGAACUAUUAGCUUAGCCAAUUUUGAUUCGAAAGUUUUUUGAACUUAAACAUGGUUCUCUCUGAACUAUAAGCUUUAGACUUUUUUACCUUACAUCUGCUUCAUUCAUUUAGUUUAACUAUUCUUUGGCCAAGAGGAAUUUGAGUUCUGACUUUCUUUGCAAUAAAAUGCAUCUGAGCUUUACUACUUAUUACUUAAAUGUAAUUUAUCAAGCAAAUGGAGAUGAUCAAAGGGUGUAUAUAUUUACGAGGUAGAAUUGUUUUUCAUGUCCCUUUACCUCUUGUGAUGUUGUUUUGAGUAACUGUAUAAAUUUAGGGGAUGGGGAUAGUUUGCCUAACAUUCUUCUGGGAUGUGUAUAAGGUCGGUCAAUUUCUAAAACCUGGUUGUUAUAUUUGAUAGGAAACUUGUUCAUCAUAAUGGGAAUGUGAUUCAUGUCUACUUGAUGGACUAUUGUUCAUAAAUUGGUUUCAAAUGAGUUUAAUCAGGUCCUGCAUACUAAGGAUUAGCUGGAUAUGACUCCUAUUGAAUGCAAAGUUGACAUCUAAAGGUGGGCUUUAUCUCGAGGCUCUACCAACCCACCUGUCAUUGUUGUCUGACUAUUAUGAAAAGAUUUAACAAGGAAAAUGUGAUAACUGCAAUUUUGUUACGUCAUCUCUAAGUUUGAUGAUCUUUUCUUGUCAUUUAAAUCAUUGUGCUUGUUCUUCAAGUUGGAGGUUCGAGACAUACUGACUGUGUCAAUUAAUGUGAAUGCAUAUAUGUGCGGAGUGGAGCUUGGAACCUUGGUGGAUUUGGUUUUGCGAUCUCAACAGAUCAGGCCUCAGGCAAUAUGAAUGUUCCAGAAUUUCAUUUUGCAGAGUAUGAUGUUGAGGACUCUUUACUUCCACUUCAGCCGUAGCUGAAUUACACUGCUCCUGAACUUGCUAGGAGUAAAGCAUCUUCAGCCGGAUGUUCUUCUGAUAGUUUCAGCUUUGGAUGUCUUGCCUACCACUUGAUUGCACGCAAGCCUUUGUUUGACUGCACAAUAAUGUCAAGAUGUACAUGAAUACCUUAAGUUACUUAUCUAGUGAAGCCUUCUCCUCUAUUCCUCCCGAGUUAGUUCCUGACUUGCAAAGGAUGAUCUCUACAAAUGAGUCUUUCAGGCCAACAGCAAUUGAUUUUACAGGAGAAGACUUCCUUGUAGCUCCUUUGAAGAGGAAAAAAGGUUGCAUGGAAAGAAUCUCUGAUCCAUACGAGAGGGAAAAGAGGCAGACUGGUAUUGAAAGCCAUUUUUUUUGUUUUUGGCAUUGGAGGAAUUUGGAUGUUCAAACACAUUGUAAAGAGAUGGCACCGUGACCAAAUCCAGAGCUCUUGUCAUCACUGGAGUAGAAAUGAAAUGUCGUAGUUUUUCAAGAAAUUUGAUGGGCAUGUUAAACAGGCUGAGGUGUCGGAAUUCAGCAUCAAGUUGUCAAUAUGAUUGAAGCCUAGUCCCCGUUUGUCUAAUAUUCAGCAUAUAUAGACGCUCUAAUUUGGUCAAAUCAAGUACUACACCAACUUUGAAGCUGGGAUAAGCAAAAUAAUGAAAACAGCCAAGUUCCUCUUUCUACAAUGUUAAUCCGUAACAUGCACUAGAAUUGAAGUUCUUUACCACCAAAUGCAUUACAUAUUAUCUGCAAGUGUGCAAG